GGAGGUCGGCGGUGGACGGGCGCCUCGCCAACCCGGUCAGGGCCGGAAGGCAGCAGCCGCAACGAGUUUCCGCUCGGGUCAUUUGUUCGGCCUCCCAC
rnacentral:SRP_RNA from 1 species